rnacentral:rRNA from 1 species
AUUGAACGCUGGCGGAAUGCUUUACACAUGCAAGUCGAACGGCAGCACGGGGGCAACCCUGGUGGCGAGUGGCGAACGGGUGAGUAAUACAUCGGAACGUGCCCAGUCGUGGGGGAUAACGUAGCGAAAGUUACGCUAAUACCGCAUACGAUCUACGGAUGAAAGCGGGGGACCGUAAGGCCUCGCGCGAUUGGAGCGGCCGAUGUCAGCAUUAGGUAGUUGGUGAGGUAAAGGCCCACCAAGCCGACGAUCUGUAGCUGGUCUGAGAGGACGACCAGCCACACUGGGACUGGGACACGGCCCAGACUCCUACGGGAGGCAGCAGUGGGGAAUUUUGGACAAUGGGCGCAAGCCCGAUCCAGCUAUUCCGCGUGCAGGACGAAGGCCUUCGGGUUGUAAACUGCUUUUGUACGGAACGAAAAGGCUCUGGUUAAUACCUGGGGCUCAUGACGGUACCGUAAGAAUAAGCACCGGCUAACUACGUGCCAGCCGCCGCAGUAA